UUCUUCGGGGCAGGGUGCAAUUCCCAACCGGCGGUAUAGUCCGCGACCCGCUGUAAACAAUUUGUCUACAGUGGCUGAUUUGGUGUAAUUCCAAAACCGACAGUAAAGUCUGGAUGAGAGAAGAA
rnacentral:ncRNA from 1 species